rnacentral:rRNA from 1 species
GAAAUCUGGCUGGUUUACUAGUCCGAGUUGUAAUUUAAAGAAGCGUUUUCGGUGGCAGCCUGGGUAUAAAUCCUUUGGAAUAGGGUAUCAUAGAGGGUGAGAAUCCCGUCUUUGACCUAGUGCAUGCUACUAUGUGAUACGUUUUCAAAGAGUCGAGUUGUUUGGGAAUGCAGCUCAAAAUGGGUGGUAAAUUUCAUCUAAAGCUAAAUAUUGGCGAGAGACCGAUAGCGAACAAGUACCGUGAGGGAAAGAUGAAAAGAACUUUGAAAAGAGAGUUAAACAGUGCGUGAAAUUGUUGAAAGGGAAACGUUUGACACCAGUCAUGUGGGUGGAAAAUCAGUCUUUUGCAUUGGGGAGUUGUAAAGGUUCGGACCGCAAGGCCGGCUUUUGCUUCAUCUUUGGUGUAAGGGAUGCACUUUUUCAUCUACAGGUCAACAUCAGUUUCUUUUGCUGGACAAAACUCCGAGAGAAGGUAGCAGCUUAGGCUGUGUUAUAGCUCUGGAGCGAUACAGUGGAGGGGACUGAGGUUUUCGCAGCGUGUGCUCUCGGGCAAGGCUGGAUGGGUGCUAUGGGAUCGUUCGGGGUACAAUGCCUGGCAUUUUGCUUCGUGUCUUUUCUAUACUCGCUCAACUCAGCUCUUCCACGCUUAGGAUGUUGACUUAAUGGUUUUAAACGACCCGUCUUGAAACACGGACCAAGGAGUCUAACAUAUAUGCAAGUGUUUGGGUGGCAAACCCAUGCGCGUAAUGAAAGUGAACGUAGGUGCCAUCCGCAAGGUGCAGCAUCGACCGAUCUUGAUAUUUUUGGAUAGAUUUGAGUAAGAGCAUAUAUGCUGGGACCCGAAA